AUUCCCCCCUAACGGAAUGAUUUUGGAUAGAUUUGACAGCUCAUGAUUCGAGGAUCCGAGGAGAAGGCUAUAUAAAUAAAUGUUGAGGGUCGUUUAGAGAGGAGAUUUUGGCACCGUUACUCUGCUAGAAUUUCACUCACACUCAAUCACCAAAGCUCAAUACUCCCGAAGUUUACUCAGAGUUCAUCAUUAGAACUUUGAGAAAACUGAGCUAAAGUCACUACAAAAUCAAGAUACACCCAAAAUCAGUGAAGAAGAACGAAGAGAGGCGAGAAAAGAAACAGAACAAAGCUUACCAUGGACCUGGAGGGAAUUUUGCUCGAAGAGUCAUCGGAAUUCAAGUAGACGAAAACUUCAGAUCUCCUUUUCUUUUCGUCGGUAUUUUUUCUUCCACAUUUACUCACUUCAUGCUAAAACCUCUAACAUAGUUGUUAUUCAUCCAAUAUUGAGUUGAUAUUUCGACUUCCAUCAUAAUGCGUAAUGAAUUGAUAUUUGUUGAAUGAGUAAGACCAUCUCAAUUACUGCUUUGAAUGUACCAUCGGAGCUCCUUGCGUCUCCUAUUUCUCCGUUCAUGUACGAUUUGGUUUGAAUGUUAGGUUAUAAAGUCGGAAAUUAGGGAUUUAGUUUAGGACCGAUGUUUAUGUGUGGGUUUGUUGUGAUGCUCACCAUGGUUGGUUUGGAUAUUUCUUGAAGAAAUUGGUUUAGAAAUGCUUUUGUUUGUUUUGAUAAGAAGAAAUGGGGUUUCGUUUGAGAGGAAAAUAAACAUAGUUGUAAAAAAGCACUUUUGUAAAAAGCUUUGUUCCGCCUUUUCGUUCUUUCAUUUUUUUAUAGUUAUUUAAGGCAAUUCAUUGUUUUGAGCUUGGAGAUGUUAAAUGGCUGUCACACGCGUCCCGAGAAAUUCCCAUGCGCCGCUUCAAUUACUAGUUGUUAUUCCCACACGUCAGGAUUUCGGGAAGGCUAAAGGCCAUUACUGCCGGUGUGCGCAUGACAGUUGUACAACGGCCUGCCGUUUUCGCUUCCGGAAGUGAUGUGUUGGACCCGGGUUUAAGGCCCGUUUUCAUUUCUUUGUGAUCUUCGGAUCACCUCUUCAAUGGGUGGAGUUUGGGGCCUUAGGGCCCAUUAUGUUUUUGGUUGCUUGGGACCAUUCUAUUUCUUGGGGAGGUGUAUAUUGGGAGUUUCAUCUUUU
rnacentral:lncRNA from 1 species